GUGUCAGUUGCGGCUCAUCGUAUGGCAGUUUGCUUGAUAAUAUUGCCAGCUGCCUAGCGAAGGGCAACAAAAGACAG
rfam:Papilio xuthus contig17261, whole genome shotgun sequence.